rnacentral:rRNA from 1 species
GUAGGUGGCAAGCGUUGUCCGGAAUUAUUGGGCGUAAAGCGCGCGCAGGUGGUUCUUUAAGUCUGAUGUGAAAGCCCCCGGCUCAACCGGGGAGGGUCAUUGGAAACUGGGGAACUUGAGUGCAGGAGAGGAAAGUGGAAUUCCACGUGUAGCGGUGAAAUGCGUAGAUAUGUGGAGGAACACCAGUGGCGAAGGCGACUUUCUGGCCUGUAGCUGACACUGAGGCGCGAAAGCGUGGGGAGCAAACAGGGAUUAGAUACCCUGGUAGUCCACGCCGUAAACAUGAGUGCUAAGUGUUGGGGGGGUUUCCGCCCCCUCAGUGCUGCAGCUAACGCAUUAAGCACUCCGCCUGGGAGUACGGUCGCAAGACUG